CGACGAAACUGCUUGGAACUUCGUCAGGUCUCGAUGGAAGGGAGACCAUUAUAUGGCUUUCUCCAGAAGCCGAAGAGUAGUCAGA
rnacentral:SRP_RNA from 16 species